UACAUUUAUAUAAAUAUUGAAAAAAAAUAUGGGCACAAUUUUAAAAGAGGUACAAAAGGAGAUUUUUGUAAAAGCUUUUUUAGACAGUGUUACUGGAAUAGUUGGAGCAACAAAGUGUUUGGUCCUGGCACAAUUCUCAGGGUUACAGAUAAAAGUCCUGAAGACAUUCCCCCAAGCCCACAAUUUUUCUUCCUUCGAUUGCUGAAAUAAAAGCCCAUCAGGUUGGAACGUAUAUUUGUCUUCUUGAGGAUAUUAUCCUGAUAUUUUUAAGAUAGAUUGAAAGAAAAGAACAGCAAAACAAUUCUGCAAUCCCAGCAGGGAAACACCGUGAAGACUAAGGACACAUACAUGAAAUUCAGCUGGGUGACUGUGACUGAAAAAUCAAUGGAUAAAGAACACCAAUGCAUUGUCAAAGAUAAGAGGAAUAAAGAAAGGGUUAAUCAAGAGAUUGAUUUUCCUUCAAUAAACAAAGGUAUGUGCAUACAAACAUGAAUACAACCUCCCAGAAUCCUUUGUUUGAAGAGAAAAACCUAACUUUUCUGUCAAGUAUUAAUGAAAACAUGCAAUUAAAAUUUUUUUCUAAUGUUGUUGCCUUUCAUGGUAGCAUAAAUGUCCUAUUUCCCCCAUAGACUUCAAAUAGUAUGGGCUUUGGAGGGCCUGGGGGACUCAGUAAACUGAGCAUCUGA
rnacentral:lncRNA from 1 species